rnacentral:rRNA from 1 species
GACGAACGCUGGCGGCGUGCCUAACACAUGCAAGUCGAACGAGGUCCAUGAGAGCUUGCUCUCGGAAGACCUAGUGGCGAACGGGUGAGUAACACGUGAACAACCUGCCCUGGAAUCUGGGAUAACCCGAGGAAACUCGAGCUAAUACCGGAUACCUUCCUCUGAUCGCAUGGUCGGAGGAAGAAAGAAUUUCGUUCCAGGAGGGGUUCGCGGCCUAUCAGCUUGUUGGCGGGGUAACGGCCCACCAAGGCAGCGACGGGUAGCUGGAUUGAGAGAUCGAUCAGCCACACUGGGACUGAGACACGGCCCAGACUCCUACGGGAGGCAG